rnacentral:tRNA from 1 species
GGGCGAUUAGCUCAGUGGCUAGAGCGUCUCCUUUACACGGAGCGGGUCACAGGUUCGAGUCCUGUAUCGCCCACCA